UACGUAGGUGGCAAGCGUUUGUCCGGAUUUACUGGGCGUAAAGAGCGCGCAGGCGGUCAUUCAAGUCGCGUGUGAAAGCCCCCGGCUCAACUGGGGAGGGUCACGCGAUACUGAUCGACUCGAAGGCAGGAGAGGGUAGUGGAAUUCCCGGUGUAGUGGUGAAAUGCGUAGAUAUCGGGAGGAACACCAGUGGCGAAGGCGACUACCUGGCCUGUUCUUGACGCUGGAGGCGCGAAAGCUAGGGGAGCAAACGGGG
rnacentral:rRNA from 1 species